rnacentral:rRNA from 1 species
CCAAACUGUUGCCUCGGCGGGAUCUCUGCCCCGGGUGCGUCGCAGCCCCGGACCAAGGCGCCCGCCGGAGGACCAACCAAAACUCUUUUUGUAUACCCCCUCGCGGGUUUUUUUAUAAUCUGAGCCUUCUCGGCGCCUCUCGUAGGCGUUUCGAAAAUGAAUCAAAACUUUCAACAACGGAUCUCUUGGUUCUGGCAUCGAUGAAGAACGCAGCGAAAUGCGAUAAGUAAUGUGAAUUGCAGAAUUCAGUGAAUCAUCGAAUCUUUGAACGCACAUUGCGCCCGCCAGUAUUCUGGCGGGCAUGCCUGUCCGAGCGUCAUUUCAACCCUCGAACCCCUCCGGGGGGUCGGCGUUGGGGAUCGGCCCUGCCUCUUGGCGGUGGCCGUCUCCGAAAUACAGUGGCGGUCUCGCCGCAGCCUCUCCUGCGCAGUAGUUUGCACACUCGCAUCGGGAGCGCGGCGCGUCCACAGCCGUUAAACACCCAACUUCUGAAAUGUUGACCUCGGAUCAGGUAGGAAUACCCGCUGAACUUAAGCAUAUCAAUAAGCGGAGGA